GUCUCCGUGGCUUAGUUGGUUAAAGCGUCGGUCUCAUAAACAUAUGAUCCAGUUCGACAUUGGAGUAAUCCGAAGGUCGUGAGUUCGACUCUCACCGGGGACA